rnacentral:rRNA from 2 species
CAGUGAUAAACUGGAGGAAGGUGGGGAUGACGUCAAGUCAUCAUGGCCCUUACGACCAGGGCUACACACGUGCUACAAUGGCGCAUACAAAGAGAAGCGACCUCGCGAGAGCAAGCGGACCUCAUAAAGUGCGUCGUAGUCCGGAUUGGAGUCUGCAACUCGACUCCAUGAAGUCGGAAUCGCUAGUAAUCGUGGAUCAGAAUGCCACGGUGAAUACGUUCCCGGGCCUUGUACACACCGCCCGUCACACCAUGGGAGUGGGUUGCAAAAGAAGUAG